AUUGAACGCUGGCGGCAGGCCUAACACAUGCAAGUCGAACGAGUGGCGGACGGGUGAGUAAUGUCUGGGAAACUGCCUGAUGGAGGGGGAUAACUACUGGAAACGGUAGCUAAUACCGCAUACCAUCGGAUGUGCCCAGAUGGGAUUAGCUAGUGGGUGGGGUAAAGGCUCACCUAGGCCACGACCCCUAGCUGGUCUGAGAGGAUGACCAGCAACACGGGAACGUGGACACGGUCCAGACUCCUCCGGGAGGCAGCAGAGGGGAAUAUUGCACAAUGGGCGCAAUCCUGCUGCAGCCAUGCCACGUGUAUGAAGAAGGCCUUCGGGUUGUAAAGUACUUUCAGCGGGGAGGCGUUACCCGCAGAAGAAGCACCGGCUAACUCCGUGCCAGCAGCCGCGGUAAUUC
rnacentral:rRNA from 1 species